GAUGAACGCUGGCGGCGUGCCUAAUACAUGCAAGUCGAGCGAACAGACGAGGAGCUUGCUCCUCUGACGUUAGCGGCGGACGGGUGAGUAACACGUGGAUAACCUACCUAUAAGACUGGGAUAACUUCGGGAAACCGGAGCUAAUGCCGGAUAAUAUAUUGAACCGCAUGGUUCAAUAGUGAAAGACGGUUUUGCUGUCACUUAUAGAUGGAUCCGCGCCGCAUUAGCUAGUUGGUAAGGUAACGGCUUACCAAGGCAACGAUGCGUAGCCGACCUGAGAGGGUGAUCGGCCACACUGGAACUGAGACACGGUCCAGGCUCCUACGGGAGGCAGCAGUAGGGAAUCUUCCGCAAUGGGCGAAAGCUUGACGGAGCAACGCCGCGUGAGUGAUGAAGGUCUUCGGAUCGUAAAACUCUGUUAUUAGGGAAGAACAAAUGUGUAAGUAACUAUGCACGUCUUGACGGUACCUAAUCAGAAAGCCACGGCUAACUACGUG
rnacentral:rRNA from 1 species